UUUCCGUAGGUGAACCUGCGGAAGGAUCAUUCACAAUAAGUGUUUUAUGGCACUUUUUAAAAAUCCAUAUCCACCUUGUGUGCAAUGUUAGAUCUCGUCAAUCUUGGCGAGAUUUUUAUACAUCAACUCAUUCUUUAACUAAUUUGUCUGAAAAAUAUUAUGAAUACUUAAUUCAAAAUACAACUUUCAACAACGGAUCUCUUGGCUCUC
rnacentral:misc_RNA from 1 species